UACGGAGGGUGCGAGCGUUAUCCGGAAUCACUGGGUUUAAAGGGUGCGUAGGCGGCGAGGUAAGUCAGUUGUGAAAUUCCCCGGCUCAACCGGUGGGACUGCGAUUGAUACUGCUUUGCUUGAAACAGGUUGAGGUAAGCGGAAUGUGACAUGUAGCGGUGAAAUGCAUAGAUAUGUCAUAGAACACCGAUUGCGAAGGCAGCUUGCUGGGCCUGAUUUGACGCUGAGGCACGAAAGCGUGGGGAGCAAACAGG
rnacentral:rRNA from 1 species